GUGCUGGCUUUGGCGGUACCUUCACUAAAACUGGAACAAUACAGAGGUUAGCAUGGGCCCUGCACAAGGAUGACACACAAAUUCAUGAAGUGUUAAAAAAAGAUUUUU